UACGUAGGGCGCAAGCGUUAUCCGGAAUUUAUUGGGCGUAAAGAGCUCGUAGGCGGUUUGUCGCGUCUGCCGUGAAAGUCCGGGGCUCAACUCCGGAUCUGCGGUGGGUACGGGCAGACUAGAGUGAUGUAGGGGAGACUGGAAUUCCUGGUGUAGCGGUGAAAUGCGCAGAUAUCAGGAAGAACACCAGUGGCGAAGGCAGGUCUCUGGGCUGUAACUGACGCUGAGGAGCGAAAAGCAUGGGGGAGCGAACAGG
rnacentral:rRNA from 1 species